rnacentral:lncRNA from 1 species
CUAGCAUACCAUCUCAGGCAUUCUUGUGUCGAAAUCAAAAUCAAAUAGCACACCAAAGCCUGAAGUGAUCCUUCCCACUGAGAAGAGGCCUCUGCCUCACCAUCUCAUCCCCCUUCUCCAUCUCUUGUAGACCCUCUUAUUGAUCAGAUAGUGACCAUUGGCCGCAAAAUGGAUUUUCGAUUUCUAGACUGUGAAGGAUUCAAAAUAGGAUAGCAGAUUCGGUAGGA